CCAAACCUGUAAAUAUGGUCAUAAGGAGACAGAUUUCUGCCACUCAUUUAUAACAGUAACAGCUCCUUUGUUAUCUUUCCACCGCACCCCUAUUCUGUAUCACUGAAACUCCAUACUAAAAGCAACCUAUUUCUGUAAUCACUGAAACAACAUCAUUGAUUCAACAUGUCUCUGUCAAAUUAUUAUGUAGCACAUCCUCUCCCAAUUCUGCUUCGAUGCAUAUCUUUGCUGUGCUAUUGCAACUGGACUCUCUCUUCCUCUUUCUUUCUAUCUAUCACACACACAUGUGCACAAACACAAUAACUCUCUUUCUCCAAAUGACUGAAAUAACACUAUUACUCUUGCCAUCAUCAUGUCAAAACCCUUUUCAGUGUCAGUCUGUCUCGCCUGUCUGGCCAGAUCUGCAGCUGUCAAAAUUACACACACACACACACACACACAAAAAAAAGAAAAAUAAUAAAGACCACAGCGAGACACAAGAGGAAGAGAGGAGCAGUUGAAAGGUAAGGUGAAUUCCAUGGAAGUAAAACGCUGGAAAUUUAUGACGCUCCUUGUCCAGUUUAGAACAACAAACCCUUUUUUUUGCAGAGAGGUGUUAGCGGUAUGCCAGCACCGUCGCGCCUUCCUGGACCUGAAAAGAAACAAAGCCUGCAGAGCCCUCUGAAACCACGAUCCCAUUCCAGAAACCAUGAGAGCAAAAUGGGUUUCUUCUUGUCGGCUUCCAUCGCUGUGGUAUUGCUGAAGUAUCUGAGGGUUUUCGCUGAGGUAUUCUGAAACAUCACUUCGAUGGGAUCAGGCCAUGUUUGGUCAUGAAUGUGGUUUUGGGCGAAGAGACGUGAAUCAAAGGGAAUGAAAACUGACAUGACAGGGUGAAGGGCUGAUGCAGUGGACGGCUUCGGCCAGACCAAUGCGGUCAACGUGACUAUCCAGGUGUACUUCGCUUUGGCCGCAGCUCUGAGAAAUGAACAACUGUCUGCACUACCGGAAACAAUCACGCUAUCUCGGUGACGAACAAGCAGCCUGACCGCAUGAUAUCACCUCUUUAGGAAAACAAGAGGAAACGCGUGCCAGUUGCUCUCACAUGCGAUCAAUUAUUUUACGGUGAAGUUGGGCUGGGGGGAAAUUUUCAGCCAUUAGCCCUUCAGUGCAGGGAUCAUACUGAGGGUAAUAGUGACUAAACACUGAAUAAACACAUUUGGCUAAUAGGUCAUUCGAACCUGAAGCAGAGAAGGUGGGCCUGUUGAUUGGCCAGAAGGUUUUUGCAUUUUAGCAUUAGCAAUAUGUGCACAAAUGCAUGCACAGGGAUGGACAAAACAACACGAACACUUUAUAAUACAGCAGCUCAUAGUGUUUGGUUUUGUCAAGACUGUCACAGGCGGUUAUAGCAACUACUGUAAAUCACAAUUUAAAAGGAAACAAGUUACAGCCAUGCAGCUGACUUGCAAUUAGCAGUGCGUGUGUCAGCUUUAAUAAAGCUUUCAGGGCAACACAAGGCAAUUUAAGACGGCCAGUUUCUGCAUGAAUUUCUGGUUUGUUAGUCAAAUGCUUGAAAAUUAUGCAAUGUUGAAUAGGGAGACAGUCUCAAAAACAAGGUCAUUUGUCAGGAAUUUGUGUGUCAUCAGUGUGUUAAUUUACUUUAUUAACGAUAGCAGAUGCAUACUACUAAAAUUUUGAACAUUAAAAUUACAUACAUGCACAUCAUAUACAACACAUAUAACAUCAUAAACAUACAUGCAUACACAAGUGGUGGAAGAAGUAUUCACAUCGUUUGUUUACGUAAAAGGUCAAGGUCAAAUUUAUUUAUAGAGCGCUAUAAAAACAAACCAGGUUUGUGCCAAAGUGCUUUACAGCAAGCAUAAUUGAGCAAAAAAGACUAUCACAAGACAUAGGCACUGAAAUACAAGCAUAAAUACAUAGUGCACACAUACACACACAUAUACACACAAACACACGCAUACAUUCAUAUAUAUCAAUGAAAAAUGUAAAUCAUGUUAAGAAACAUUGUAGGGGUAGGCAAGAGAAUAAAUUAGGGUGAUAAGAAACCUUUUAAACGAGUCGAGAGAUUCUGUUGUUCUUAUAGUUUCAGGGAGACUAUUACAGGGUCUUGGUGCAGUUACUGAGAAGGCCCUGUCACCAAAAAGUUUUCAAGGAGUACGUGGGAUAGUUAGUAGCCCUUGAUCUGUAGAUCUGAGGGGUCUAGCUGUACUGUAUGGGAAUAGAAGUUCUGCAGCACAGCUUAGGGCGAGACCAUGCUGAGCUUUGAAUACAAACAGAAAAAGCUUGUAAGGGAUUCAGUACUGAACGGGCAGCAAGUGCAAAGAUGCCAGUAUAGGUGUAAUAUGGUCCCUUUUUUUCGCAUCUGCAUAGGAGUCUGGCCGCAGCAUUCUGUACCAGUUGUAAGCAGUGAAUAGAGGCCUGGUUGAUACCAAAGUACAGGGAGUUGCAAUAAUCGCGUCUUGAGGAUAUUAGAGCAUGCAUGAUGUUUUCUAAAUCUUUAGGUGAUAAGAACGUCUUGAUCUUAGAUAUGAUUCUAAGCUGGAAGAAGCUAGAUUUGACAACUGUGUUUACCUGUCUAUCAAAUUUCAGCAUAUUGUCGAAUAUUAGUCCAAGGUUUUUUGCAUAGGGUCUGAUGUGAUUGGAUAACUGGUUCAGGGACUGGGCAGUGGUGCUGGAGGAAAGUUAUUAGCCAUCCAUCCUUUAAUGUCAUCCAGACAUUUAGCAAGGGCAGUGGGUAGUUUAAAAGCAGCAGUUUAAAAGUACAUAAAUAUUAUAUGUGCUAUUAAAAGUAAGACUACACAUCAUGUACAAUGGCUCCUGUCAGAGUUAUUGGUUAUAUUAUGUAUUAUAAUUUGUGUUGUGUUAUUGUGUUAUGUUAUAUUAUAUUAUUUAUUAUUUUAUCAU